rnacentral:rRNA from 1 species
UCCUACGGGAGGCAGCAGUGGGGAAUAUUGGACAAUGGGCGCAAGCGUGAUCCAGCAAUACCGCGUGUGUGAAGAAGGCCUUCGGGUUGUAAAGCACUUUUAUCUGGAGCGAAAUACUAUUGUUUAAUAACCGGUGGGGCUGACGGUACCUGAGGAAUAAGCACCGGCUAACUUCGUGCCAGCAGCCGCGGUAAUACGAAGGGUGCAAGCGUUAAUCGGAAUUACUGGGCGUAAAGGGUGCGUAGGCGGUUUGUUAAGUCUGUCGUGAAAUCCCCGGGCUCAACCUGGGAAUGGCGAUGGAUACUGUCAAGCUUGAGUGUGUCAGAGGAGGGUGGAAUUUCCGGUGUAGCGGUGAAAUGCGUAGAGAUCGGAAGGAACAUCAGUGGCGAAGGCGGCCAUCUGGGCCAACACUGACGCUGAAGCACGAAAGCGUGGGGAGCAAACAGGAUUAGAUACCCUGGUAGUCCUCGCCCUAAACGAUGAAAACUGGAUGUGGUGUCAACUAAGAGAUCAGUGUCGAAGCUAACGCGUAAGUGUCCGCUGUCUCGACGAUCU